GGAAGGGAACCGCACCCCGGUGGGGCGCCCGGACUUCAAAUCCGGUGGGGCGCGUGUGGACACGUGCCCGGUGGGUUCGACUCCCACUCCUUUCCGCCA
rnacentral:tRNA from 1 species